UACGAAGGGGGCUAGCGUUGUUCGGAAUUAUUGGGCGUAAAGGGCUCGUAGGCGGUUUGUCGCGUCGGGAGUGAAAACCUCGGGCUUAACUCGGGGCUUGCUUUCGAUACGGGCAGACUAGAGGUAUGCAGGGGAGAACGGAAUUCCUGGUGUAGCGGUGAAAUGCGCAGAGUAUCAGGAGGAACACCCGUGGCGAAGGCGGCUCUCUGGGACGGUACUGACGCUGAGACGCGAAAGCGUGGGGAGCGAACAGG
rnacentral:rRNA from 1 species